UUAAACGUCUAUACCACGUUUAACCACCGAUUCUCUUCCGAUCAUCGAAGUUAGGCAACGUCGGGCGCGGUCAGUACUUGGAUGGGUGACCGCCUGGGAACACCACGUGACGUUGGCU
rnacentral:rRNA from 1 species